rnacentral:lncRNA from 1 species
AAAAUCAUGUUGUUUUCAGGAGCCAAGCCAAUGCUGGCCCUUAGUAUGUUCUCCAGCAUUGCACGCUGCUUGGACAGUGCGUUCACCACCGGUGUGCCUGGUGGAACCUGUUUUUUGCCAAAACAAUGUCAGCUCUCAGUAAAUUUCUUCACAGAUUUCUGGUUCAAGUGAUUGUCAUGAUUCUAUUCACAUUCUUGAACUGAAAGUUGACAUAAAGUUCACAAACUUUAAUUCAAUAUUGUGUCCCCUCUCACCAGUUGCUUCAUGUGAAAUAGACAGAAGCAGCUUUACAUAAAAUCAUUGAUGGUCACAUGAAAUAUAUCACAAAGAGGCACCAUAAAGUGAAUUUGCGAUUCCUUGUUUCCCACUUAAACUAUAAACAGUUGAGUUACCAUUUAAUUCAAGACAAUAAUAUCAAUGUUUUAUUGGUGAAGGUGUCACCCCUCUCCACCCCCAUUUUAUUAUUAAUUAUUUGCGAUUCCUGGUUUCCCACUUAAACUAUAAACAGUUGAGUUACCAGUUAAUUCAAGACAAUAAUAUCAAUGUUUUAUUGGUGAAGGUGUCACCCUUCCCACCCCUGUUUUAUUAUUAAUUAUUAUUAUAUUUUUAGUAGGCCAGAGUUACAGGAAAAGACGAAGGGAUGCUUUGGACUCACAAGAGGGGCUUUGGUGAGGUAACUGAGGAUUGUAGCCACAGGAUGGAAAGAG